GGGCCCGCACAAGCGGUGGAGCAUGUGGUUUAAUUCGAUGCAACGCGAAAAACCUUACCUACCCUUGACAUCAUCAGAACUUGUUAGAGAUAACUCGGUGCCUUCGGGAACUGAUUGACAGGUGCUGCAUGGCUGUCGUCAGCUCGUGUCGUGAGAUGUUGGGUUAAGUCCCGUAACGAGCGCAACCCUUAUCCUUAGUUGCCAGCACGUAAUGGUGGGGACUCUAAGGAGACUGCCGGUGCUAAGCCGGAGGAAGGCGGGGACGACGUCAAGUCAUCAUGGCCCUUACGGGUAGGGCUACACACGUGCUACAAUGGCCGGUACAGAGGGUUGCCAAGCCGCGAGGUGGAGCUAAUCUCAGAAAGCCGGUCAUAGUCCGGAUUGCAGUCUGCAACUCGACUGCAUGAAGUCGGAAUCGCUAGUAA
rnacentral:rRNA from 1 species